GAGUUUGAUCAUGGCUCAAGAUGAACGCUAGCGAUAGGCUUAACACAUGCAAGUCGAGGGGCAGCAUGGUCUUAGCUUGCUAAGACUGAUGGCGACCGGCGCACGGGUGCGUAACGCGUAUGCAACUUGCCUCACAGAGGGGGAAUAACCCGUCGAAAGACGGACUAAUACCGCGUACACUUAUUGGAGGGCAUCCUUCGGUAAGGAAAUGAAUUUCGCUGUGAGAUAGGCAUGCGUCCCAUUAGCUAGUUGGUGAGGUAACGGCUCACCAAGGCAACGAUGGGUAGGGGAACUGAGAGGUUGAACCCCCACACUGGUACUGAGACACGGACCAGACUCCUACGGGAGGCAGCAGUGAGGAAUAUUGGUCAAUGGGCGAGAGCCUGAACCAGCCAAGUCGCGUGAAGGAUGACUGUCUUAUGGAUUGUAAACUUCUUUUGUAGGGGAAUAAAGAGGGGCACGUGUGCCUCAGUGAAUGUACCCUACGAAUAAGCAUCGGCUAACUCCGUGCCAGCAGCCGCGGUAAUACGGAGGAUGCGAGCGUUAUCCGGAUUUAUUGGGUUUAAAGGGUGCGUAGGCGGCCUGUUAAGUCAGCGGUGAAAUCUAGGAGCUUAACUCCUAAAUUGCCAUUGAUACUGGCGGGCUUGAGUGUAGAUGAGGUAGGCGGAAUGCGUGGUGUAGCGGUGGAAUGCAUAGAUAUCACGCAGAACUCCGAUUGCGAAGGCAGCUUACUAAGGUACAACUGACGCUGAAGCACGAAAGCGUGGGUAUCAAACAGGAUUAGAUACCCUGGUAGUCCACGCAGUAAACGAUGAUAAACUGGGCGUAUGCGAUAUACAGUAUGCUCCUAAGCAAAGGCGUUAAGUUAUUCCACCUGGGGAGUACGCCGGCAACGGUGAAAACUCAAAGGAAAUUGACGGGGGCCCGCACAAGCGAAGGAACAUGUGGUUUAAUUCGAUGAUACGCGAGGAACCUUACCCGGGAUUAAAAUGUAGAUGACGGCCGGUGAAAAGUUCGGCUUUUCCUUUCGGGACAUCUAUGUAGGUGCUGCAUGGUUGUUCGUCAGCUCGUGCCGUGAGGUGUUCGGCUUAAGUGCCAUGACGAGCGCGAACCCCUGUUCUACGGUUGCCAUCAGGUGAUGCUGGAAACUCCGUAGAGACUGCCGUUCGUAAGGCGUGAGAAAGGUGGGGAAUGAACGUCGAAUUCGGCGCGGCCCUUACGUUCCGGGGCGACGCGCGUGUUGACGAAUGGUGGGAACGAAGAGGCGGCUACCUGAGCGACGGGAUGCGAGUCUCCGAGCUCCCGUUCGCGGUUUCGAUUUCGGAGUCUGCGCCUCGGCCCGUGAGGGCUGAUUUCGCGUAGGAUUCGCGCGCCGAGCCGUGGCGGCGGUUAUGACGUUUCCCGGCCCUUGGCCGCGCCGCCCG
rnacentral:rRNA from 1 species